rnacentral:rRNA from 1 species
CAGGAUGAACGCUAGCUACAGGCUUAACACAUGCAAGUCGAGGGGCAGCGGGAUUGAAGCUUGCUUCAAUUGCCGGCGACCGGCGCACGGGUGAGUAACGCGUAUCCAACCUUCCGUACACUCAGGGAUAGCCUUUCGAAAGAAAGAUUAAUACCUGAUGGUAUGAUGAGAUUGCAUGAUAGCAUCAUUAAAGAUUUAUCGGUGUACGAUGGGGAUGCGUUCCAUUAGGUAGUAGGCGGGGUAACGGCCCACCUAGCCAACGAUGGAUAGGGGUUCUGAGAGGAAGGUCCCCCACAUUGGAACUGAGACACGGUCCAAACUCCUACGGGAGGCAGCAGUGAGGAAUAUUGGUCAAUGGACGAGAGUCUGAACCAGCCAAGUAGCGUGAAGGAUGAAGGUCCUACGGAUUGUAAACUUCUUUUAUAAGGGAAUAAACCCUCCCACGUGUGGGAGCUUGUAUGUACCUUAUGAAUAAGCAUCGGCUAACUCCGUGCCAGCAGCCGCGGUAAUACGGAGGAUGCGAGCGUUAUCCGGAUUUAUUGGGUUUAAAGGGAGCGCAGACGGGUCGUUAAGUCAGCUGUGAAAGUUUGGGGCUCAACCUUAAAAUUGCAGUUGAUACUGGCGUCCUUGAGUGCGGUUGAGGUGUGCGGAAUUCGUGGUGUAGCGGUGAAAUGCUUAGAUAUCACGAAGAACUCCGAUUGCGAAGGCAGCACACUAAUCCGUAACUGACGUUCAUGCUCGAAAGUGUGGGUAUCAAACAGGAUUAGAUACCCUGGUAGUCCACACGGUAAACGAUGGAUACUCGCUGUUGGCGAUAUACUGUCAGCGGCUUAGCGAAAGCGUUAAGUAUCCCACCUGGGGAGUACGCCGGCAACGGUGCAACUC